CGACCAUUCAAUAAAAAUGAUCUGAUGGACCUUAUUAAGUCUCAUGUUUUAAUCCUAAUUCAUCUAGGGUUUCGUUAGGUGAAGGACAGCGGCGCCUCUUGGCCGCUUUCUCCCAUUUCCUCUCUCAGAAAAAAUGCCAAACUCCUUCAGCCGAAAGUGAACUUUGUUUUCGCCAUUUUUGUGCAAAGGGUACUUUUCUAGGCGCGUCUCUAUCUCGUCUUCCCUUUUCAUGCUUCAAGGAGUGACAAAUCUCUCCAUUCCAGUCAAGGUCUCACCAUUUCGGGCAAGACGUCCAAAUCCAACGUUCAUAUUCAAACGGUCGUGUUGACCAAGUCUCAAGCAUGGUGUUCAAAAUCCCGCCCAAAAUAACCCUAAUCUCCUCCUAUAAAUAGAAUCUUAUAUCUCAACAGGGAACAAGUUUUCGGGCCGUCACUUCUCUCUUUGAAAGCAUUAUCUUCUUACCAUUUUUCUCAAGGCACUUUAUAUUCAUUCUCUUCUUAUCUCAGAUCUGAGCAUCGUUUAUUUUCGAGGAUGAGUCGGAGAUCAAAAGUCCCUGUUUGCUGCACCACAAAGAGGUAUUAAGUGUUUUGAUGGCAAAAGUUGGAGAAUUAGGUGAAAAUGCAGAAAGAAGUGGAGAAAAUAAAAGAUCACUGAAGAGGCAGUUUGACAGAGCAAUUAGACGGGACGCAAAACAUUCUGUGGAGCGUCAAAUUGACCGUAUAAUGAUUACAGUAGGCAGUGCAUCGAAGAUCCAUCCUGCGGAACAAUUAUACGGACCGUAUAAUAGUUGACGGUCCGUUAAAGUGUAGCGUAGAAUGACGCAGGAGACUGUUUGAAGAUUGAAGGGCAGCAAUUUGACGGCCGCAUAACGGUUUUACGGUCCGUAUAAUGGACCCGACGGACAAUUUUGUCUUUUCACUUCUCGUGACUUAGGGUCUUAUAAAUACCUGAGAUAGGUGUCUUGUACGAGAGACAUCAGAUUUCAGUUUUUAUUCUUCUUAGCACUAAAUACUCAUAGUCUUGGAAGUUUUUUGGAUUACAAACAAUUGCAAUUACUUUUUCCUCAAUACCAAGCAAUCAAUUCGUAAG